GAUCAUGGCUCAAGAUGAACGCUAGCGACAGGCCUAACACAUGCAAGUCGAGGGGCAGCGGAGAGGUAGCAAUACCUUUGCCGGCGACCGGCGCACGGGUGAGUAACACGUAUGCAAUCCACCUGUAACAGGGGGAUAACCCGGAGAAAUCCGGACUAAUACCCCAUAAUAUGGGCGUCUCCGCAUGGAGGGUCCGACUUAAAGAGAGCAAUUUAGGUUUACGAGACGAGCAUGCGCUCC
rnacentral:rRNA from 1 species